CCCUCCAUAGUUCAGUGGCUAGAACGCUCGACUGUAGAUCGAGAGGUCCCCGGUUCAAAUCCGGGUGGGGGGA
rnacentral:tRNA from 1 species